CACUCCUACGGGAGGCAGCAGUGGGGAAUUUUGGACAAUGGGCGAAAGCCUGAUCCAGCAAUGCCGCGUGUGUGAAGAAGGCCUUCGGGUUGUAAAGCACUUUUGUCCGGAAAGAAAUCCUUGGCUCUAAUACAGUCGGGGGAUGACGGUACCGGAAGAAUAAGCACCGGCUAACUACGUGCCAGCAGCCGCGGUAAUACGUAGGGUGCGAGCGUUAAUCGGAAUUACUGGGCGUAAAGCGUGCGCAGGCGGUUUGCUAAGACCGAUGUGAAAUCCCCGGGCUCAACCUGGGAACUGCAUUGGUGACUGGCAGGCUAGAGUAUGGCAGAGGGGGGUAGAAUUCCACGUGUAGCAGUGAAAUGCGUAGAGAUGUGGAGGAAUACCGAUGGCGAAGGCAGCCCCCUGGGCCAAUACUGACGCUCAUGCACGAAAGCGUGGGGAGCAAACAGGAUUAGAAACCCGAGUAGUCCC
rnacentral:rRNA from 1 species